rnacentral:rRNA from 1 species
CUUGUUCUGGUUGAGCGCCAACGAUGUCAAACUUCCAAGAAAAGCUCGUACACCUCUCUUUGGAGAUCAAACAUAAUAAUUACCUGUACCUGAAACCGACACAGGUAGGUGGGUAGAGAAUACCAAGGGGUCGAGAAAACUCUCUCUAAGGAACUCGGCAAACUGGCCCCGUAACUUCGGAAGAAGGGGCGCCCUCUUAACAGAGGGUCGCAGUGACCAGGCCCAGGCGACUGUUUACCAAAAACACAGGUCUCCGCAAAGUCGUAAGACAACAUAUGGGGGCUGACGCCUGCCCAGUGCCGGAAGGUGAAGGAAGUUGGUUAUCUUCUCGGAGAGAAGCUAACGACCGAAGCCCCGGUGAACGGCGGCUGUAACAAUGACAGUCCUAAGGUAGCGAAAUUCAUUGUCGAGUAAGUUUCGACCUGCACGAAAGGCGUAACGAUCUGGGCGCUGUCUCGGAGAGAGACUCGGUGAAAUAGACUUGUCCGUGAAGAUGCGGACUACCAGCAUUUGGACAGAAAGACCCUAUGAAGCUUGACUGUAUCCUGGAAUGGGGUUCGGGCUUUUCUUGCGCAGUCUAGGUGGGAGGCUUUGAAGAUUUCCUUCCGGGGAAAUUGGAGCCGUCAUUGAGAGACCACUCUGGAGAGGCUAGAAUCCUAAUGGUGAUCCUUGAAUCAGGACACUUGACAGUUUCAGGUGGGCAGUUUGUUUGGGGCGAACGCCUCAUAAAAGGUAACUGAGGCGCGCAAAGGUUCCCUCAGUCUGGACGGAAAUCAGACAUUGAGUGUAAAGGCAAAAGGGAGCUUGACUGCAAGACCUACAAGUCAAGCAGGGGCGAAAGCCGGCCUUAGUGAUCCGACGGUGCCGUUUGGAAGGGCCGUCGCUCAACGGAUAAAAGUUACUCUAGGAUAACAGGCUAAUGAUGACCAAGAGUUCAUAUCGACGUCGUCGUUUGGCACCUUGAUGUCGGCUCAUCACAUCCUCCGGCUGUAGUAGGUCGGAAGGGUUGGACUGUUCGUCCAUUAAAGUGGUACGUGAGCUGGGUUCAGAACGUCGUAAGACAGUUCGGUCCAUAUCCGAUGUUGGCGCUAGAGCAUUGCGAGGAGUCUUCCAUAGUACGAGAGGACCUGUGAAGAACGUGCCAAUGAUGUACCAGUUCUCUCUCCAGAGGGAAACGCUGGGUAGUUAUGCACUGAGCGAAUAAGUACUGAAAGCAUCUAAGUACGAAGUCCACCUCAAGAUGAGUGCUCUCUUUAGGCCGCGGCAAGACCAGCCGUUGAUAGGUAUCAAGUAUAAGCAUAGUAAUGUGUUCAGCUGAGAUAUACUAAAGGCCGA